CUAAUUCUGCAGACUUUGGUCAUUCAAUGUAACUUAGCGUAAUGUUAGGUUAAUGUGAGAACCAUGUAACAACAAGGUUACACAGAGUUGUGUUAUGUGAAUUAUAAAUUCAAAGAUUGUAAAAAUUAUUUAUAAGUCAUGAACGUGUUAUGUGAUAACUUAGUUUAUACAAUGAAGGUUAGUCAAGUGUUGCGAACUAAAACACUUGGAAUUUCUAAAAUGUAAUUGGUAAUGAAAGACUUGUGCUAAAAUAAUAAGAUUAGCUAGAAAUGUACAUGUUAUGGUAUGUUAGCAUAUCUAAUAGGUAUUGUGGUUUUAAAAUUAUGUGUAGG
rnacentral:lncRNA from 1 species